CUUUUUGCUAAACAGCUUAAAGUGGAGUAGUGGAAGAAAGACGUGAGACUGAAGGACCUCUGCUUUGAAUCCCUGGACUAUCGGUGUGGACCUUCAAAUAGCUGGUCGAUGUCCACAUUCUGGAUGUUGGACAGCUGGCCCAGCACCGACUGCUUGUGCGUUUCCUCUUGGUUGUCCUCAGCAAUCAUCUUGGCCAGCUCUGUGGGCAACACCACAUCGUCCCCCGCCUGCUGGAUCUGGGUCUCGUCCAUCUCAUUCUGAGACGGGGGCGGUGGAAGACAGAAAGAAUACAUUUACUGGAAAAAGUGGAAGCAGAAAACAGGAACCCAGACGGAGGUUCAGAUUACACAUUGGCAUGGAUGAAAGUGUGAAAAGAAGCUGCUAAGAGACACACUUGGUGACAGAAUUCACAGCAGAAAAUUGUGCAGAUGAAAAGUGAGAAAUGUGAAACAAAUGUUCAGAGAAUUGGGUGGAAUAAGAUGUGAAAUUGAGUGUGAACAGAAAAAAAGACUUCAGACUACAUUGUGUCCUUUUCGCACUCACUAAACUGUGUUAUUAGAAGCAGAAACACCCAAAACCAAAUGACCGCCUUUUCCAUGAUGCUGAAUACAAGGAUGAUACAGUGUUGUUCCUGAUAGCUGCCUCAAUGAGACAGCAGAGCCCUUUAGAGAGUACAACACCAGCUGCUGACAAAGCCUCAUCGAGAGAAGAUGGAGAAUUAAAAACAGUAUCAAACAUGCAUGCAACCCAGAAAGUGGAAAGACCAGACUCCUGAGACAGAAGCUAUAGAUCAAGAACCUACACAAAUGCCAGGGUUGCCAUGGAGUAAGCAGAAAGGGAGGCUCCUAACCAUCCAACCAAGCCACAACAAUUGUGCACAUGUCCACAUUACUUUCAGUAGUUUAGGUGUGGAGCUGUUUAAUGGUUUGUGCAAGACCACCCAUAGUUCCAUUUUAAUAGAAUUCUUAAUGUCACAGCAUGAUAUUUUCAACAUCCUUAUGCCUCAAACUUGGUGACUUUGUGAUAUAUAUUUUACCACAAAACUUUGUCUGUGCACCUUUAAAUCCAGAUUGGAUUCAAACUUCGUAUAAUGUGUUCCACCCUGUCAGCCUUUCAUUCAUUUGAUUUUUUACUUACUCGCAAUCCUGUACUUACACUUCCUGCAAACUGCAGCACUGUUAUAAUGCUCUGAUAUACUCACACAUCUGUCUCUGACUCUGUCUCUAUGUCUGUUUUCAACCAAGUGUUGUUUAAUCCAUAUACCGUGUUCUUUAUGUUCUGUAAAACUGCUGCCAACCUGUUAAAACCACUUUAAAGAAACCAGCCUACAUCAAAUGCAGCUACUCUAUCUCCAUGUAUGCACAGACUAGUAUUAAUAUUAGCAUGCUCCACUUCUGUGCAUUCAAAUGCACAGAAGUGUAUUAGUGUAAGUAGCUCUGGUGGGUUUAAACCUUAUAAGCACUGCAGCUUUAUAGCCACGCUGUACCCGCUGGGCUGCAAAGUGGGCUAAAUCGCUGCACAGUGAGACUGUCGGUGAUAUCAUCUGUGUGCUGGACGUCAAAUGAUAGAAAGGAGGUGAUUUUUGUCCACAUUUAAUUAAGUGGUUAAAAUGACCCCAAGCUACCACUCUUAACCAACAGAAGAAUUACAAGCAGAUAGUAGCAGGGAGUGAAAACAAAAAUGAUAGCGAUAUUACAAGAUUACAAUUACAAGAAUGAUAGAGAUAUAGUAUGUUAAGGAAAAUCAGCCUGUCCUCCUCCCCAGUAAAUAGGUCAUUUGUUCAGUACCUCAUUACUACCCAUGUUUACGUUUAUUGUGGCAGUGCCCUCUACUGGCCGUACUAAUAAUAAUAAUAAUAUUAAUAGUGAGAACAUCUGCGUAAUGGUGCUUUCAGACCAAACGCGAAUUUAAUCCUCGCGACGCUUUUCCUCGCGUGAGUACAUUCGCAGCAAGUGUUCACACACAAGGCAAGAAGGCGAAAAUUUACUCGAGUUGGAAAUUUUCAACUCACGCGAAGGCCUUCGUGUUGGCUUUGCGUCGCCUGCACCGCCCCCUUUGCGUCGCUUCGCGUGGCCCAACAAGAAAUCGCGGCUCUACACGUCUUUGCAUUGACUUUGUAUGUAAACUCACCGCCCCGAACGCUGUUGGUCUGAAAGCACAGUAAGAGGAGGACGGACUUUCACACAGGAGAACGGUGUUUGAGUCCCACGUGAAAUCAAGUAAAUAGUGAGUUAUUUUGAGUUUUAAGUUAAAUAGCAUUACUGACUUCUGUCACAUGAUCUACAUAACAUCACUUACGCAAUGUAGGCCCACCUAUUUUAGCCCAAACCACCAUGUUUUCGUAAUCGCUGAUAUUCAGGCGAUUUUAACUAACUCAAUGUCAGAACCAAGAUGACAUGAAAACAGUCGCAGAAUCUGCACCACACUGCAGUGUUUCCCAUUCAUUGAUUUAUUUGUGGCGACACAACGAGCCACAAUAUCAACGCUGAACGCCACAUAUGUUAACAUUAGAAUACAGCUGGGUUGUCGAGGUUAGCGUGCUGUACAUAGCUGCUAUCGAAUGCACCCCCCUCCCUGCUGCCAAUUACACAGUAAUUCUGUGGGAAACACUGUAUUGUGUAUUUACAGGUGUUUCUGGCGGUUUCUCUUAAAGCUAAAGCUGUUUCUUCCAUGCUGUCAUUUCACUGACUUGCUGCAACGUAACACCGCCCCCUGGCGAUCAGAUUGCCAAUCGGUGAUCGGCAAACUCUACUAACCAAGUAGUUUUGUUGCCUAAACCUAACCAAACUAUGACUGUCUCACAUCGUUAACCACAUGUUUAAUGUCAUUUAACGUGAGGUUUGACAAACGACCUAUUUUGUUGUUCAGGUUGUAGGACUUGUUGAGGAAAAUUGUCAUUUUAUGAGACAUUUUUAUUGUCAGGAGAGAGAGAGAGAGACGAAGAUGCAGGAAAGGUCAUGGGUCAGAUCUGAGUCCACAUUAAGAGCAUAUGGCUGCUGAGCCUGCGCUGUCAUAUCUCUGCUUAUUUAGCUUUUCUUUCCUCGCAUGCUUCUUUUACACUGCUCUCACACAUUUGCUUUACUCUCUGCCUUUUCCAUUUUCUAACCCUUCCUUCUUAUCCUCCUUCCCCACCCCCACCCUCCUUCCUUCCUUCCCUCAAAUCCCUACGAUCCUCCAUCCUUCCAUCCCUCCCCCGUCUUCCUUGCCUGAUUUAGACCUCUUGCCUGAGAGGAACAUCAGAGCACAAUGGGUUAGUGCUAGCUGAGCUUAAAUGGAAUGAGAAACCCGGAAAAUUCUCUUUCAUGAGUAGAUGCAAACAAUCAGCAGUGUGAGGAUGAAUGAAGGAGAGGAGGAUGAGAUAGAGCAAGCUGGGAAGUAAGAGCAGUGAGACAAGGGUGCAGAAAAAUGGCUAGAGAUGGGUGUAAGGGUCAGUGGAGAGGGGAGAAUGAUGAAGGUUUUUAAUUCCAAAAGCCAUUUUACAACAAAUUGCAUUGUGACAUCUGUGGCUUAAUAAUAUACUGUAGAUAUAAUCCCAUGCUUGUGUAUGUGGUGUUUUUUGGAAAAAGGUCCUAACAAUAGUGGAAAACAAAUUGCCAUUUUGCAGCAGCUAUAAAUGUAAAAUAUGAUUACGAUAUGCUACCGGAACUCUGGGGUACAAUAAGGUAAUGAUAGGGGCUUUGGGAAAAUCAUUUAAGGAAUACAGCAACGUACUAACAGGUGUCCAUAAGACAUACAGCUGUUACAGAGGACAACUUGAACCAGAUUCAAAAAUUGUUACUCCUUUGUUCCCCAUUGUAUUGUUUUCUUUCAGUGUACUUACAGUAUUUAACUUGAACCUGAUUCAUACAACGGAAUUAUGUAGUAUGUCACGGGCUGUAUGUUGAAGUGAUACCCAAAAA